GAUGAAGAACGUAGCGAAAUGCGAUAAGUAAUGUGAAUUGCAGAAUUCAGUGAAUCAUCGAAUCUUUGAACGCACCUUGCGCUCCUUGGUAUUCCGAGGAGCAUGCCUGUUUGAGUGUCAUGAAAUUCUCAACCUUUUCAGCUUUCUUUGUUGAUCAGGCUUGGAUGUGGGAGUAUGCGGGCUUCUCAGAAGUCGGCUCUCCUGAAAUGCAUUAGCGGGACCUUUGUUGCCUGGCUUUGGUGUGAUAAUUAUCUACGCCAUUGUAGUCAAGCAGCUUAAAAUGAGGUUCAGCUUCUAACCGUCUCCCCUGAGACAACUUUUUGACAAUUUGACCUCAAAUCAGGUAGGACUACCCGCUGAACUUAAGCAUAUCAAUAAGCGGAGGA
rnacentral:misc_RNA from 1 species